rnacentral:lncRNA from 10 species
GGUUUAACCCCGCCUCUUGCGUCGGCGCCUUCCUUUUCCUCCCUGUCGCCACCGAGGUCGCACGCGUGAGACUUCUCCGCCGCCUCCGCCGCAGACGCCGCCGCGUUAUCAGUGAGCUGAAUGGAAAAAACAUUGAAGACGUCAUUGCCCAGGGUAUUGGCAAGCUUGCCAGUGUACCUGCUGGUGGGGCUGUAGCCGUCUCUGCUGCCCCAGGCUCUGCAGCCCCUGCUGCUGGUUCUGCCCCUGCUGCAGCAGAGGAGAAGAAAGAUGAGAAGAAGGAGGAGUCUGAAGAGUCAGAUGAUGACAUGGGAUUUGGCCUUUUUGAUUAAAUUCCUGCUCCCCUGCAAAUAAAGCCUUUUUACACAUCUC